CCUACGGGAGGCCGCAGUGGGGAAUAUUGGGCAAUGGGCGCAAGCCUGACCCAGCAACGCCGCGUGAAGGAAGAAGGCUUUCGGGUUGUUAACUUCUUUUACGCGGGAAGCGCAGAAGACGGUACCUCUUGAAUCAGCCACGGCUACCUACGUGCCAACAGCCGCGGUAAUACGUAGGUGGAACGCGUUUUCCGGAUUUCCUGGGUGUAACGGGCGUGGAGCCGGGCUGACAAGUCAGAUGUGAAAUUCCGGGGCUCAACCCCGGACCUGCAUUUGAAACGGUUGGUCUUGAGUAUCGGAGAGGCAGGCGGAAUUCCUAGUGUAGCGGUGAAAUGCGUAGAUAUUAGGAGGAACACCAGUGGCGAAGGCGGCCUGCUGGACGACAACUGACGGUGAGGCGCGAAAGCGUGGGUAGCAAACAGGAUUAGAUACCCGAGUAGUC
rnacentral:rRNA from 1 species